UAGGGAAUCUUCGGCAAUGGACGGAAGUCUGACCGAGCAACGCCGCGUGAGUGAAGAAGGUUUUCGGAUCGUAAAGCUCUGUUGUUAGAGAAGAACGUUGGUAGGAGUGGAAAAUCUACCAAGUGACGGUAACUAACCAGAAAGGGACGGCUAACUACGUGCCAGCAGCCGCGGUAAUACGUAGGUCCCGAGCGUUGUCCGGAUUUAUUGGGCGUAAAGCGAGCGCAGGCGGUUCUUUAAGUCUGAAGUUAAAGGCAGUGGCUUAACCAGUGUACGCGUUGGAAACUGGAGGACUUGAGUGCAGAAGGGGAGAGUGGAAUUCCAUGUGUAGCGGUGAAAUGCGUAGAUAUAUGGAGGAACACCGGUGGCGAAAGCGGCUCUCUGGUCUGUAACUGACGCUGAGGCUCGAAAGCGUGGGGAGCAAACAGG
rnacentral:rRNA from 1 species